rnacentral:rRNA from 1 species
AAUAGCCGCAUAACGUGACCGGGUUGCGACCUAGGUCACCAAAGAUGGCCUCUCCAUGGAAGCUAUCAGGUAGAGAUGAGCCCGCGUCCCAUUAGCUAGUUGGUAAGGUAAAGGCUUACCAAGGCUACGAUGGGUAGCUGGUCUGAGAGGAUGGCCAGCCACACUGGAACUGGAACACGGUCCAGACUCCUACGGGAGGCAGCAGUGAGGAAUCUUGCGCAAUGGGGGCAACCCUGACGCAGCAACGCCGCGUGAGUGAAGAAGGCCUUCGGGUCGUAAAGCUCUGUCAAGUGGGAAGAAUAGCCUUAAGGUAAAUAGUCUUAGGGUAUGACUGUACCACUGGAGGAAGCACCGGCUAACUCCGUGCCAGCAGCCGCGGUAA